UCAUCGUAAUAAAUCAUCCCAAGUGUCUAAUUAACAGCACAACAUCCCAAAACCUUAGUAACUAAAGAACCAAAACAACAUUUUCUUUUACAAACAGAUGAAAUUAAUUGAAUAAUUAUGCAUUUGCCAAACUAUGUAGCCGAUAAUCCCAAGUAAUUGUCUUACGAUCUUGCUUAUUAACUUCAUUCAUAAAAUAUUUUAUGAAUCCAAUGAGAUCAUCUUCGACUCAAUCGUCUCAUAAACCAACCUACCACAACCAAAAAGUCCUCGAGACCAGCCAUCACUCAACAACCGUCUGAUUCAAUUUCUUUUGCAAGUUGCCCACAUUUACCCGCAACAGCUGUUAAGUUGGCGAAACGGUGACUACAUGGAGGCAGCAGUCUGCCGCCCGCCACUCGCCCGCUAUAAAACCUCUCUCCAUAAAAGACCUCUCUUUCAAGACCCAGACAUAUCCAAGACCCACAGAAUCACACGCGAGUCGGAUUCGAAAAGCACGUUAAAACGAACAGAGAAAAAAAAGAAACGCAAAACAAAGGAAAAUAAAAGCGAGAGAGAGAGAGAGAGAGAAAGAAAGAGAAAGAGGGAGGAAAAGGCACAAGUGUUGGCCGGUGUGUGAGACUCGAUGCGGAACGGAAGCGUGAACGAUGCACGGGGUGGCCGGGGCCGGGUUAGCAGCGUUAGAGUCCGGGGGUGAAAAGGGAAGAGAACGGCAGGUGUCUCGAUGGGGUGGUAGGGAGAUGCGCGGUGUAUUAAACCCGGUGACUCUUGCCGCGCAGCGUGGGAGUUAGUUCUGGUGAGGGCGCCAGCCAGCUCACUCGCUAAACUAACCCACCGUCCCAACCCUUCGAUCCUCCAUCCCUCGACUUUCGGCCAACAAAGCAACAUCCACGGCCGCAACCUCCUUUCACCGACUCCGCAGCCGCUGUUUUUUCGCGACUUCCUGCCCGGCCCGCGUCUAAAUACCGUACGGCGUACUGAGAAAGGAAAAGGAAUCGGUGACCAUUCAACAAACAGGGAACGAACAACUUUUCUUUGGCAUUCUCGCGUCUCCCAGAACCUACGUGUAUACGUACGUUACGUAUACUCUGCUCGCGGCAAAGGCGAGCAUGCGAGCAACACAAACUCGUCGCAAGAGAACGUAACAGCUGAGCAUAGAAGAAUAGUAGAAGAAAGUGAAUUCAUUUUUGAAGAGGUUCGAACGAACAACGAAUAGUACGAGGCAGCGGGAUAUAACAAGAUUAGAAAGGAAGGAGGAAACAGGUUGGUCCCCGUGGUUACGUCGAUCGACGCGUUUUUAACCGGACGUUCUCGACGUCAUCGUCGUGGAUGACGAGUAUCAGCGAACGACAGUCAGCAACAUGUUAGUGAACUGGUGUUCGCACCAUUUUGUGUUCGCGUGAUCCGGUCCGUCGGUGAUGAACAAACUGGAUGAAACGGUAGCCCGUCACGGCAAGAAUAAACUAGCCGCUGAAUAAACCAAGUUUAAACACGAGUACGUUUACGGGUAUUGUAAUCGACUGUAAAACGAGUUUCCACGAGUAGAAGGUCGUUGAAAGUUGUUGAAAGAGUAUCAACGAUCAUCGAUCAGACUUUGGAGGAUUUUACGUGCGAGAACUGCGAAGAAGAAGAAAAAGAAGAAGAAGAGUGUUGUGUGCGACGGGAAACAGAAGAUUUGAACUUGGCAGGGAAGGUUAUCUGUUAAUCGUAUCGCAUGAGAAAAGGUCCCACGGUGAGAAAGAGGCGCAGAAGGGCGAAGAUAUCGCAGCACGCAGUCACAGAAGCAAGUAUUUCGCACAGAAACACACGUUAAAUCAUAUGUAAACACAUCAUAUUCUGUUAAUACACUGGGUAAUGUUCCGCAACUGCACCUUUGCCCGAUAACUUUCUUUUUUCUCUAUAUAUACGUGCACAUAAUAUAUAUAUAUAUUGUAUUCUCUCUCUGUUCACACGCGCCGCCUGUGUUGUGUCACACUCUAUCACUGUAUGAUCGAUGUGCGUACUAUGUUCUUCUACUCCUUCGGUGUUUUCGACGUCACGACGACCAGCUGUGUCGUCCGGCGCCUUAAUUAAUCCCCUUCCUCCCCACCCCCCUCACCCCCCAAACCAGGAGCACGGUUUUGCACAUUUUUCGGGCACCUGUUGAUCUCUCUCGUACUACAUAGCCACUUUUCCGCACUUUAAAGUCGUUCGGAGAGUUCGAUGUCACCGCUGCACGCCGUGUCACACCGCACGUAGAAUCUUGUAUAACGCCUCACUGGCACACAAGCACCUCCAAAAGUCAAGCACCGUGAACCGACACACGGGGUCCUUCGACAGCAUGGAAACCAGAGAUAGAAAGCAGUUUUCUAUGACGUCAUCGAGGACAGUAAGUGUCUAAUUUAAGACAGAGACCAGUAUAGAGAAUCUGCAGACGCAGCCAAAGGACCGCAAGUGGUCGUGGAUCCUGGAAAUUGGACUUUCGAUUUCUACCGGGGAAAGUAGAGGGAUCAGAAAGUGGAAAGUAGCAUGUUGUAAUAGAGACAGAGGAGAGAAAGAAUCGCGAUGCAGGCAACAGGGAGAGAGGACAGGGGUAAGAGCAGGAGGACCAGGAGAAAAAUCGAGUUUCGUUGUUGCCCACACUAUCGAGCACCUUAAUAAGUAUCCACGACCAGCACCAGCACCAUUCAUCACUGGCACUGCAUAUUAUUCUUCAGACACACGCCUUAGUGUCGACUAAGAGCCAUCCUUUUUUUUACUAACGGCCUGAUUUCAGGACGCGGAAAUCCUCGAGAGCCUCUGUUGUCAUUGAGUGGAACGAAUCGUCGGGAAUUUUCGGAAAUGCGACAUUAACGAGACACGAUCGUGGACUGUGCAACGAUCGCCGACAGAAUCGAGUCGAAUCGAAGAGAAGCGAAGAGAAGAAGGAAAUCGAAAGAGAAUAGAAUAGGUGAUGUUCUUAUUGAUCUCCCUAUUCCGAUUAUAUCCGAAGAUUUAGAAGAGUGUUCGAUGAAAGAAGAAAAGCAGCAAAGUAGAAAGACGAGAGAUAGAAUAAAAGUAGUUGAACGCGUUUAAGAAACGUUUCGUUUCCCAUGUAACGGAUGCCUACACGGUUAUCGAUUGAUCGCCGGUCAUCGCUCAUCGUCCGCGUUUUCUUCCCUCAAGUCGCUCCCUACAGAAACGCUUCCUCCCCCUGCACAGCUAACGAAAAGUCGGCCUAAACUCUCAGCGUCGUGCCUUUUGACUGGCAAACGAAAAUCGAGCGCGGUACGUGUAUACAAUAAAAAGCGCUAAAAACGAAACAACAUACAAAAAAAAAAGAAAAGUAACAAAGGCGAAACUACAUAAAGAAUCUACCCAAGAAGAGAGAAAAGAAGAAGAGGAGAGAAACAAAAGACACUUAAUUUUUAAUCGAUUCGAAAGCCAGCCCGGUUAAAUCCGGUGAAAAUUGUAACAUAUAUGAUGGCGGUAUGCAUGUUCUGGCUUCUCACGUACGUGGGACAAGGGCUAGACCUGGCCGUGGGGAAUCGUCCGGUGAUCAUCAUGCAGGGUGCACAGGAGCAGGACUAUCGGCACGGUAGCGGGAUCAGAAAGAAGAGCGAGCUAAACUCGGUAGGCAAUAACCUGUUGCACUUCAGGAUAUAUCCUCCCGAGGCCUCUCACCGAGACGACCUGUCCAACUGGUUGCUAUUGAACGACGAGCCACGAAUUUCCUCGUGGACACCAGCUGGUAUAUUGAUCGACGAUAUGAUCAGAGAGCCUAGGGAGCUACAGACUGUAUUCUUUGCCCUGUCACCCGCUAUGUUGAACAUGCUCUACUCGGAAUACAUGAACACGGCGACGCAACCGGGCGAACAAUUUCUACACGAGGAUCAACAACAACAGCCAAUGGGCGGUGGUCCUCUGGGUAGUCAACGUACUAAGAAACUACGAAUCGACUGUAGACACUCAAGAAACACGGUCAGCCUGCCUAUAAGAGUAUGCGACGACGAAACAGGACGCAAGAGCUUUCAAGAAACCAGACAAUCGAACUACGACGAUCUCUUCGAGCACAAGUUAAACACUGCUGCGAACAUGAAGACUGACUCGAUAUCACGGGGACCUGAGAAGUACAGGGAUUAUCAGAACGGCGCGACGUUUGUGUCGAGACCACCGUUUGGCCUGGACACAGUCAAGCCUCCCGGAAAGAGAAGCCAAACUCUUGUCGGACGCCGCUCCAUCGACCUCUCCGGAGAGUCGACUCCGCAUCAAGCUCAACCGCCGUCCUCCCCCGGGAACGGCAUCAACGUCGCUUCUCAAAUUAUGUUCAGAUCCACCAGGGGAAGCAUACAGUACGACGUACCGCAAAUCGAAUGUCCAAUCUCCGAAGACGGAAUGGAAAGGUUUGCGUGUCCCACAGCGGACAGAAUGGGUAGAUACCAUUGCAUUGACGAUCACGCCUUGUGCGACGGUUUCAUAGACUGCCCUACAGGCGAAGACGAGGAUAGGCAAGCCUGCAUGUUUUACAAAACUUGAACAGUGAAAGGAUCAACAAGAAGAUAUUUAUCAGACAAAUUUCCUAUUUUUCGUCGCUUUAACCUUUACUAUAAUUUGAAUGAGAAAUAUACGUAGACGAAAGCUCACCUUGACGUAUUGGCAGAUGCCAUUUUGCGAUGGGCAAGAGGACGCUAAUUCCUUUGUUGACGAUGAACCUCUGACCUAUGCAUAAAAUCAUAAGUCUGACGAGUUUACUUCUUUAUACAUUCAUCUAUAUAUAUAUAUAUAUAUUUAUACAUAUAUAAUAUAUAUAUAUAUUUGUAUAUAUAUAAUAUAUGUAUAAUAUAGCAUAUAAUAUGUAUAUGAUAUAUUCCCAUGUAUGUGUACGUGUACUCACACUCUUGUGUACCCGCACACAUAUUCAGGGUUUUCGUUUCGUUGCUAGCGGACGUUUCUCUUGCGAGCAGUUCCAGAGGGGGAUGAAGGCAGUUGAGGUAAUUCUUUCUUACUUUUCGCAGAAAAAUGCGAUAAAAGAGAAGGAAAUUUAUUAACAAGCUCAAGAUUAAUUGUUGGAUUUCGAUUGAAAGAAGAUCGGGUAUGGAAUGGAUAAUUCCAAAUAAUUGCAUUUAGAUGUGAAAUUGUGGAUUCGAUGCAGUCUUGAAAAUAAAGAAACGUUAGCUUAUUUGAUGUAUUAAUUCGAACGAACAUAUACUUUCAAAAUUCUUUGACAUUUUGCAAGCGUAAUAUUAAAAUAUUUACAUCCUUCUAAAUGUAUCAUUUUGAUGUAAUUGAUAUUCCUGCUAUAAAGAAAAGGCUUCAUUAAAAUUGAAUAUAUUGAAACCUCCAGGAUGAAACGAAAGGAGAAAUCAUUAGACUGUUAUGCUAAAUGCUUAUGUACUUAUGAGAUGCAAGAAUGCUCGUAAAAGACACAGCAUUCUAACACUGAUUGCCUCGAACCUCUGUUUAAAUUGUACUUCUUCAGUUGCAUUCGUGAAGCUAUGAAUCCGUAGAAAUAUCUGCACUCUAAAAAUCAUCUAAUCUCCAAAACACGGAACGAGAGGAGAGAAUCUGGAUCUAUCAUCGAUCUACGGUGCUUCUAAAAUUCUUCUAAAGUUCUCCUAAAAUUCUUCUAAAGCUCUUCUAAAAUUCCAAGAAAACCUAACGUCACGCGAAUCUGACCCUAGCGAAAUCUCAUUCUAAAUUCCACGGACAACUUCACGAAUCACUGAAAUUACUUUAUGCGGUCACGUUUCAUCGUGGAUGCGACUGCAAAGCAUCCCCUCCUAUAUUCUCGGCGAUUUAAUCCGCUCGCAAAAGGAACGCAUGCUGACUAGAAGACGAACACCCUGCUCGCAUUUUCCCCGUUCUCCCGCAUCAUCUAUUUUGCAGAGAGUUUUCCCUUUCUCCCGUGUAUAACCGUAAAGAAAAACACAUACACAUACACACACACACACACACACACACACACACACACACACACACAGACAUACACACACAAACAUAAACAUAUAAUGAGAGAUAGAGAGAGCUUGCGUGUGUGCAUGCGGAAACGUGUGAAAGAAAGAGAGAGAGAGAGAGCGCGCGAGAGUGAGAUGUUCACGUUGAAAUCAAACUCAGGGGAACGUAAAGAUGAAUCGUCUCUCGAGCAACACUCAGCCAAAAAAUAUGGCCGAUCCGUGCUCGAUUCUUCGAGGGGUGCGGAUUGAUUCUGACGCGGCCUCGUUUAUACGUGUUCGCUACGUGUCCUCGUGCGAGAAUAUCGCUGAAUCGAUAAUAUUUCGAUAGACAAGCCGUUGCUUGUUAAUUAAAUGGACGUGUUCUGCGGCUUGACGUUUAGGAGAUGAUAGCGAAGACAGGAAGUUGCGAUACGUUUGCCGCGAUUAACGCGAGCUUCCGACUGGUUCGGUGAUACGUUCUGAGAUACAUACUGUUGAUGGAUGACCGGAAGAGGGAUAUCGCGCGAUUCUAUCGUGAAACUUGUUCGUUCGAUCUUUCUUUCUUCUUUUUUCCUUAGAUAGAAUCGCAGAAUUGAUCGGAGUUACAGCGGGUCAAUUGUGGGGAAUUUCCGAAUUAUUAAAGUUUGUGUUAAAGAUAUCGAAAUUAUUGGAAUAUCUGAGAAGUUUGAGAAUUUUUCCUGUUAUUAUUAUUCGUAGAAUUCUUUGAAUAUUUCACUGUUACACGGUUCGACGCAAAAAAUAAUCGAACAUUGUAAAAAUAACGAAGCAGAGGCAUCGUAUCGAGAAAAAUGUUCUAUUUUAUUGAAAACACGUUUCUCCUGUGGCGAUACAACGAUUUGCACCCUCAACUAAUGCAUCAAAUAAUUGUUGCGCGUCUUUUUAUGGAAUUCCUUGGAGAAUUGAGAAGGUCACAGCCUUCCGGAUGUCUCGAAUGUUGUCACAGCAUGACAAUGUUGUCCUCCUUCGUUGUUGUUCGAAGCUGAGGAGAUAGAAAGUAAUUGUACGAUGCUAAGUCCAGCGAACAAAGUAGUUGGUGCAAUAUUUUAAUUUAUUUGUGUUCAAGAGAAGCAGUUAUGGCCGCUGCAUUAUGAGCCGGUACAUUAUUACACAACAACACCAUAUUUUUCCGUGCGUGAACCAACUCUACUCCAAUGUUAAUCGCUAUAAUUCUGCUCCUAAUAAUGACGAUGACGAAGGAUGUAUUUCUACGUGAUAAAAUUUUCGUAUUGAUGUCGCUACUGGGUUUUUUUAAUCUUAAGUUGCUCCGUUAUUUUUGGAACAGACUGUGUACUUUUAUUCUACCUUUUUGUAAAAUUGUAAAAUGUAGCGGGAUGCUGCAGGAUUUGGAAAUUAUUAGAGUUUGUUCAAAAUAUUGGAAAUAUUGGAAUAUUUGAGAAGUUUAUGAAUUUUCAGUGUUAUUAUUAUUUGUGAAAGCAUUAGUGUAUUUUGAGAAUGUAUACUUUUGUGUCGUUUUAAAAGACUUUGGAAGUAAUUUGUUGUGUAUGUUGAAACUGUUGGAACAUUUAGAAAAUUCUUUUAUUACUAUAGGAGAUUUUUGAAAGGUUAGAGGUUUCAGAGUAAUUUAUUAUCAUUUUUCUAUUGUUUGAAAGAAUUGAAAUUAUUGAUGGACUGUUUAUCUAGAAAUUGAGAAUUAGUUUGGUGUAGAUGUUGGAAAUAUUGAGAAAUUUAAAAAGUUAAUAUAAUUAUUCGGUUUGUAAAAUACUUCGUUGUAAAUGUUGAACAUUUUGAAGUAGACAUUUUACGAAACAUAUUAAAAUUAGUUUUCCGUAUUCUUUUAGGAUAAUUCUGAACUUAGUACGAAUAUUACAUAUAAACAAUUUAUACGUUGGUUUCGUAGGAAAGACAUUGAGAAAUUGAAAUGUCUGUUCUUUUGUAAAAUUCUUUCGAAUUAAUUUACGUUAUUUAUACAAGAUUUAUAACUUCAUUUAUUUCAUCGAGAAUCUCAGCGUUUUAUUCUUUUGUACAAUUUCUUGAAGUAAAGGUAUAAAACGAAAAUCUUUUAUGAAUAAUUUUUCUCUCCUGUUAGAAUUCUACAAUUUCCUGUCAUCGAGAACGAACGAUCAAUUUUCUUGCUGUCGGAAACCCAUUUCUACGUCCAGAAUCAUCUGUCACUACAAGGGAAAGAAUUUCAUCUGUCAUUUCGGACAGGAUUUCGUUGUUCUCUGAUACUGUUUUCCAACACGAUACCUCCUACAUUUAACGACUAUAUAAUUUAUGAAAAAUAAUGACAGUGAUUAAUCUCGAAUUAAUAAUAAUAAUGAAUUGUAUAUUUUUCGAUUAACGAAUUGUUGUUUACAAAUUAGAUAACAGAAACAGAUGCAUAAAUUCACAUUUAUUGCUGACAAAAAUCUACAUAAAAAUAAUAAAAUAUUGAGAUA